AGUGAUAGGUAUACUUUAGGAGGGGCUUGCGCCAUAUUAGUUAGUUGGUAGGGUAAUGGCCUACCAAGACGAUGAUGUGUAGCUGGACUGAGAGGUUGAACAGCCACAUUGGGACUGAGACACGGCCCAAACUCCUACGGGAGGCAGCAGUAGGGAAUUUUCGGCAAUGGAGGAAACUCUGACCGAGCAACGCCGCGUGAACGACGAAGUACUUUGGUAUGUAAAGUUCUUUUAUCAAGGAAGAAAAGCAAGUGGUGAACCAUUUGUUUGCCGGUACUUGAUGAAUAAGCCCCGGCUAAUUAUGUGCCAGCAGCCGCGGUAAGACAUAAGGGGCAAGUGUUAUCCGGAAUUAUUGGGCGUAAAGGGUGCGUAGGCGGUCUAGUAAGUCAGUGGUGUAAUGGCAACGCUCAACGUUGUCCGGCUAUUGAAACUGCUAAACUUGAGUUAGAUAGAGGCGAGUGGAAUUCCAUGUGUAGCGGUAAAAUGCGUAAAUAUAUGGAGGAACACCAGAGGCGUAGGCGGCUCGCUGGGUCUUAACUGACGCUGAGGCACGAAAGCGUGGGGAGCAAACAGGAUUAGAUACCCUGGUAGUCCACGCCGUAAACGAUGAGUACUAAGUGUCGGGUUAAACCGGUACUGAAGUUAACACAUUAAGUACUCCGCCUGAGUAGUACGUACGCAAGUAUGAAACUUAAAGGAAUUGACGGGACUCCGCACAAGCGGUGGAUCAUGUUGUUUAAUUCGAAGAUACCCGAAAAACCUUACCAGGUCUUGACAUGUUUUUGCGAAACGGUAGUAAUAUCGUGGAGGUUAUCAGAAACACAGGUGGUGCAUGGUUGUCGUCAGCUCGUGUCGUGAGAUGUUAGGUUAAGUCCUAAAACGAGCGAAACCCUUAUCGUUAGUUGCCAGCACGUUAUGGUGGGGACUUUAACGAGACUGCCAGUGAUAAAUUGGAGGAAGGUGAGGAUCACGUCAAAUCAGCAUGCCCCUUAUGACCUGGGCUACAAACGUGAUACAAUGGCUGUUACAAAGGGUAGCUGAAACGCAAGUUCUUGGCCAAUCCCCAAAAACAGUCUCAGUCCGGAUUGAAGUCUGCAACUCGACC
rnacentral:rRNA from 1 species